UACGGGGGGAGCAAGCGUUGUUCGGAUUUACUGGGCGUAAAGGGCGCGUAGGCGGCCAGCACAAGUCAGUUGUGAAAUCUCCGAGCUUAACUCGGAAAGGUCAACUGAUACUGUGCGGCUAGAGUGCAGAAGGGGCAACUGGAAUUCUUGGUGUAGCGGUGAAAUGCGUAGAUACCAAGAGGAACACCUGCGGCGAAGGCGGGUUGCUGGGCUGACACUGACGCUGAGGCGCGAAAGCUAGGGGAGCGAACGGG
rnacentral:rRNA from 1 species